UAUCAAAUCAUGCCAUGUCUUGGUUAUCUAGCUAGAGGUAACAGGCACCUCCAUAUCAAACCAUGCCAUGUCUUGGUUAUCUAGCUAGAGGUAACAUGCACCUCCAUAUCAAACCAUGCCAUGUCUUGGUUAUCUAGCUAGAGGUAACAUGCACUUCCAUAUCAAGCCAUGCCAUGUCUUGGUUAUCUAUCUAGAGGUAACAUGCACCUCCAUAUCAAACCAUGCCAUGUCUUGGUUAUCUAGCUAGAGGUAGCAGGCACCCCCAUAUCAAACCAUGCCAUGUCUUGGUUAUCGAACUAGAGGUAACAGACUCCUCCAUAUCGAACCAUGCCAUGGCUUUGUUAUCAAGCAAACCAGAUAUCUUUGAUUAAACCC